rnacentral:lncRNA from 1 species
UAGAAUCGGGUCAUUGUGAUAUUUGUUCCCCUUUGUUCUGAUUCUGAUUUUUAUUCUGAACCUGACUUCGGUGAUUUUGAGGAGGAAUAGUCAGAGGAUGUUGAUGAUGACAUCCUGAGGGAGGGUCAUAUGCCGGUAGAUGGGGAGUUACCAUAUAGAAUUUCCCUUGACUUGGGGUAACACUGGAUGGAUGUGGGGCAGUAGCUCCUUC